rnacentral:rRNA from 1 species
GACGAACGCUGGCGGCGUGCUUAACACAUGCAAGUCGUACGAGACGAUUGAAAGCUUGCUUUUGAAAGUCGAGUGGCAAACGGGUGAGUAACGCGUAGACAACCUGCCGUAAAGAUGGGGACAACAGUUCGAAAGGACUGCUAAUACCGAAUGUUGUAGAGUUUCCGCAUGGGGAUCCUACUAAAGGUGGCCUCUACUUGUAAGCUAUCGCUUUACGAUGGGUCUGCGUCUGAUUAGCUAGUUGGUGGGGUAACGGCCUACCAAGGCGACGAUCAGUAGCCGGUCUGAGAGGAUGAACGGCCACAUUGGAACUGAGACACGGUCCAGACUCCUACGGGAGGCAGCAGUGGGGAAUCUUCCGCAAUGGGCGCAAGCCUGACGGAGCAACGCCGCGUGAGUGAAGAAGGGUUUCGACUCGUAAAGCUCUGUUGUCGGGGACGAAUGUGGAGAUGGUGAAUAACCAUUUCCAAUGACGGUACCUGACGAGGAAGCCACGGCUAACUACGUGCCAGCAGCCGCGGUAAUACGUAGGUGGCGAGCGUUGUCCGGAAUUAUUGGGCGUAAAGGGAGCGCAGGCGGGAAGGUAAGUCUAUCUUAAAAGUGCGGGGCUCAACCCCGUGAGGGGAUGGAAACUAUCUUUCUUGAGUGCAGGAGAGGAAAGCGGAAUUCCUAGUGUAGCGGUGAAAUGCGUAGAUAUUAGGAGGAACACCAGUGGCGAAGGCGGCUUUCUGGACUGUAACUGACGCUGAGGCUCGAAAGCGUGGGGAGCGAACAGGAUUAGAUACCCUGGUAGUCCACGCCGUAAACGAUGAAUGCUAGGUGUAGGAGGUAUCGACCCCUCCUGUGCCGGAGUUAACGCAAUAAGCAUUCCGCCUGGGGAGUACGGCCGCAAGGCUGAAACUCAAAGGAAUUGACGGGGGCCCGCACAAGCGGUGGAGUAUGUGGUUUAAUUCGACGCAACGCGAAGAACCUUACCAGGGCUUGACAUUGAGUGAAAGGAUUAGAGAUAAUCCCCUCUCUUCGGAGACACGAAAACAGGUGGUGCAUGGCUGUCGUCAGCUCGUGUCGUGAGAUGUUGGGUUAAGUCCCGCAACGAGCGCAACCCCUAUCCUUUGUUGCCAGCACGUAAUGGUGGGAACUCAAAGGAGACUGCCGCGGACAACGCGGAGGAAGGCGGGGAUGACGUCAAGUCAUCAUGCCCCUUAUGUCCUGGGCUACACACGUACUACGAAUGGGAUGGACAGAGAGCAGCGAAGCCGCGAGGCCAAGCGAACCCCAUAAACCAUCUCCCAGUUCGGAUUGCAGGCUGCAACCCGCCUGCAUGAAGUUGGAAUCGCUAGUAAUCGCAGGUCAGCAUACUGCGGUGAAUACGUUCCCGGGCCU